GACGAACGCUGACGGCGUGCUUAACACAUGCAAGUCGAAGGGAGUGGCGAACGGGUGAGUAACACGUGAGUAACCUGCCCUUUUCUUUGGGAUAAGCCUGGGAAACUGGGACUAAUACUGGAUGGAUUGGGAUGGGCUCGCGGCUUAUCAGCUUGUUGGUGGGGUGAUGGCUUACCAAGGCUUUGACGGGUAGCCGGCCUGCGAGGGUGAUCGGUCACGCUGGGACUGAGAGACGGCCCAGAGUCGUACGGGAGGCAGCAGUGGGGGAUAUUGCGCAAUGGACGAAAGGCUGAGGCGGGGGCGUCGUGUGGGGGAUGAGGGCCUUCGGGUUGUAAACUCCUUUCGCCCGCGGAAUGGUAGUGGGUAAAGAAGCGCCGGCUAACUACGUGCCAGCAGCCGCGGUAAUUC
rnacentral:rRNA from 1 species